rnacentral:hammerhead_ribozyme from 1 species
AUUCAGCCUACGUGUCCCAAAUAGGACGGAACGAGCGUCCUGGAU